AUGACACGUCCGAAACACUUAGGCGGGCUAGGCUUCAGGGAUCUUGAGAUUUUCAACCUAUCAUUGUUGGCUCGUCAGGCUUGGAGACUCUUGCAAGAACCGAUGAGUUUGAGUGCAAGAAUACUGAAGGAUGCAUACUACCCUGACAGGACGAUCCUUAACGCGGAGUUGGGGUCUAGACCGUUCAAUCCUCCUAGGUAUGUUUCGGAGUUGCUCACCCCGGCAACAACCUCGUGGAAUGAGGCUCUAGUCCGGACUAUUUUCCUGCCCAUAGAUGUUGAUGCUAUCUUGAAGAUCCCGGUAUGUACGCGUAAUAUAGAGGAUUUUUGGGCUUGGUAUCCGGACAAGAAAGGCAAGUUCAGUGUUAGCUCAGUCUAUAAGUUUUUGCUUAAGACAAAGAUGCAGAGGGAGGAGUGGCUGAACGGAAGUAGCGGAUCAUCUCACACUGACAAAGAUGAAAAAGCUUGGACAUCCUUGUGGAAACUUAAAAUCCCGUCGAAGGUGAGGAUCUUCCUUUGGAGGCUUGCUCAUCAUUCACUCCCCACAACGGAUGUCUUGAAGAGACGAAAUAUGUCAGAUCGAGAUGUAUGCCCACUCUGUGGAUGUGAGGAUUCAUGGCGCCAUGCGUUGGUUGCAUGCACGAUGUCUUGUUGCGUGUGGGCGCUUUCGGAUGAAAAUCUGGUGUCACUCAUGUCUGAGAAUGAGGAAUCCAACGCAAGAAUAUGGCUGUUUGAACUCAAUGAGAAGAUGGACCAUGCUAGCUUUACAAGGAUGGUCAUCACGCUGUGGUCCAUAUGGUAUGCCAGGAGAAAGGCUAUCUAUGAAUCGAUUUUUCAGAGCCCUCAACAUAUGGCGUCUUUUAUCAAUAACUACAUUGACGAGUUGGGACAUAUGAGCGCUGGAGGAGUGCAUGAAGGUACUCCUAUUGCUGCACCACCGCGACCGAAGAGGUGGAUUCCUCCACCAAGAGGCAUCGCGAAGAUUAACAUUGAUGGGGCUGUGGUGCGAUGACGGAGAGGCGGGGCAGUUGCAGCCCUAUGCCGCGACCAGGAUGGACAUUAUUUGGGGUCAUCGGCGGCGGUUUACUAUGGGAUCACUGAUCCCUUAACUUUGGAGACUUAUGCAUGCCGCGAGGCCCUUGCUUUGGCGGAUGACCUGGGACAACAGAAGAUUUGCGUGGCAUCGGACUGCCAAGAGGUGGCAAAUGACAUCAACAGGGGAAUAGGAGGCCCCAAUGUUGCGUUGGUACAUGAAAUAAUGAACCACUGUAAUAGCUUUAUUUCUUGCUCUUUUGUUUUCGAGCGUAGGAACUUCAAUUAUGAAGCUCACAAUCUCGCCAAGAUUGCUUGUAACCUAGACAUAGAUAGACAUGUUUGGUUGGGCACCCCCCCAUGA
rnacentral:rRNA from 1 species